ACGCUGGCUGUGUGCCUAAUACAUGCAUGUCGAGCGAGGUUAGCAAUAACCUAGCGGCGAAUGGGUGAGUAACACGUGCUUAAUCUACCUUUUAGAUUGGAAUACCCAUUGGAAACAAUGGCUAAUGCCGGAUACGCAUGGAACCGCAUGGUUCCGUUGUGAAAGGCGCUGUAAGGCGCCACUAAAAGAUGAGGGUGCGGAACAUUAGUUAGUUGGUGAGGUAAUGGCCCACCAAGACUAUGAUGUUUAGCCGGGUCGAGAGACUGAACGGCCACAUUGGGACUGAGAUACGGCCCAAACUCCUACGGGAGGCAGCAGUAGGGAAUAUUCCACAAUGAGCGAAAGCUUGAUGGAGCGACACAGCGUGCACGAUGAAGGUCUUCGGAUUGUAAAGUGCUGUUAUAAGGGAAGAACAUUUGCAAUAGGAAAUGAUUGCAGACUGACGGUACCUUGUCAGAAAGCGAUGGCUAACUAUGUGCCAGCAGCCGCGGUAAUACAUAGGUCGCAAGCGUUAUCCGGAAUUAUUGGGCGUAAAGCGUUCGUAGGCUGUUUGUUAAGUCUGGAGUUAAAUCCCGGGGCUCAACCCCGGCUCGCUUUGGAUACUAGCAAACUAGAGUUAGAUAGAGGUAAGCGGAAUUCCAUGUGAAGCGGUGAAAUGCGUAGAUAUAUGGAAGAACACCAAAGGCGAAGGCAGCUUACUGGGUCUAUACUGACGCUGAGGGACGAAAGCGU
rnacentral:rRNA from 1 species